ensembl:lncRNA
GGGAGAGAGACGGAGGGGAGGGAGGAUAUUGAAAUACGGGAUGGAAAGAAACAGAAGAAGAAGGGAGGUAAGGAUAGGACGGUGUGCAGUGAUCAGCUGAGUCCAUGAAGAGUGAUGAGUAAUGAUGAGGAGUUAAUUAGGCGAAGGUGUGGCGACGAGACGAUGUCUGAGUGUCUGGGGCCUAGGGAGAGAGUGUCUGUGUUGUGUAUGUUAUGAUGUGUCUGGCUCAAGCACGCACACACACACACACACACACACACACACACACACACACACACACACACACACACACACACACACACACACACACACACACACACACACACACACACACACACACACAACACACACUCUUUGGAGAGGAGGUGUGUUGGUACUAAUGUCAGGAUAUCCUCUGCUCGAUCAGCAUCACACUGUUAUUCCACCACUCUCUCCCUCUCUCCCCCUUCUCUAUCUUCCCCUCCCAGUCUUCCUGCUCCUCCUCUUCCUCUUCUCCCACUUCUCCUCUCUGCUCCUCCUACCCCGGUGCUUGGCUCUCUCGAUGGGAUUCUAAUCUUUCCUUCCGACGCGCUUUUAUUUUCCUAACUUUGAACCAUGUGUCAAAAAAGGGAAAGUUUCCUAGGAAGGGGGGUUAUGGGCCAAUGAGCAGCUUUGAUCUGAACUACUGGUAUUAACUGUUAGUAACUACCCUCUAGUAACUAGUACCUGUUUGUUAACUGUGAAUAACUACCCUGCAGUAACUAGUACUUGUAAACAGUAACUGUUAAGUUACUGUCAGUAACUAGUACCUUAUAACUGUAACUAGUAACUGUUUAGUUACUCUUGGCAACUACCCUGCAGUGACUAGUGCCUGCAACUAGCAACUGUUAAGCAACUACACUGCUGUAGCUUCCAGAAACCAACUACUAACAAUAGAUUUAGCGAUAAAGUAAUCAAUGUAUAAUAUGUUUAUAUUGUGAUUGAUGAUCACAAUUGAUUCAUUAUUCACACCAGAUAUAGAGAGAGAGAGGGUGAGGAGAGAUACAGAAUGAGGGAGACAGGGUGAGGAGAGAUACAGAGAGAGAGGGUGAGGAGAGAUACAGAGUGAGAGAGACAGGGUGAGGAGAGAUACAGAGAGAGAGAGAGGGUGAGGAGAGAUACAGAAUGAGGGAGACAGGGUGAGGAGAGAUACAGAGAGAGAGGGUGAGGAGAUACAGAGUGAGAGAGACAGGGUGAGGAGAGAUACAGAGUGAGAGAGAGACAGGAUGAGGAGAGAUACAGAGUGAGAGGGUGAGGAGAGAUACAGAGAGAGAGGGUGAGGAGAGAUACAGAGUGAGAGAGACAGGGUGAGGAGAGAUACAGAGAGAGAGAGAGAGAGGGAGAGAGAGGGUGAGGAGAGACAGAGAGAGAGAGAGGGUGAGGAGAGAUACAGAGAGAGAGAGACAGGAUGAGGAGAGAUACAGAGUGAGAGAGACAGGGUGAGGAGAGAUACAGAGAGAGAGAGAGGGUGAGGAGAGAUACAGAGUGAGAGAGAGAGAGGGUUAGGAGAGAUACAGAGAGAGAGAGAGAGAAAGGGUGAGGAGAGAGACAGAGAGAGACAGGGUGAGGAGAGAAAGAGAGACAAGGUGAGGAGAGAGAGACAGGGUGAGGAGAGAGACAGAGAGAGACAAGGUGAGGAGAGAGACAGGUUGAGGAGGCAUACAGAGAGAGAUAGGGAGAAAGGUAAAGAAGAGAUACAGAGAGAGGAGAUGGAGAGGGGAGGAGCGGGAAGAGGCAAGCAGGGGGUUCGAAAGUGCCCAAGGGGUCAUGUGACUACGGGGAGGGUCCUACUUCCUGCUUCUCAGCCCCUCUUCCUGGUUCCCCGUAAAGGGGGAGGAAGUGGGCGGAGUCGAGCCUGGGAGAGGGAGGGAUAUAUCAUGCCUGGGGAGAGCGAGAGAGGCAGGCCCCCGGUUCAUUCACACACAGACGCACAGAGGGACGCACGCACACAGCAGAUUUUGGAGAACUUUUCCUCUCCUGAGGACUGGACUGGAAACCAGGACACACAUCUGUUAGCCAGACACCGGGACACACAGACACAGAGAGAGAGAGAGAGGGACAGAGAGACAGAGAGAGAGAGAGAGAGAGAGAGAGAGACCGAUAGAGAGAGACCGAGUUACAGAGAGAGAGGUCCUUGUUAGUUGUCUACUUUCUGGGACUCCUUUACCUGGACCCUACGCCGGUGUCUGCGCCUCCUCUCCGCCAGGACCACAGCACCUCCUCCUCCUCCUCCUCCACCUCCUCCUCCACCUCCUCCUCCUCCUCCUCCUCCUCCUCCUGCUGCUCCUGCUCUCCGCUCCGCUGCGAGGAGCGCGUUGUCGGAGGGAUUAUAACCGAGACACGGAGGAGGAGGAGGAGGGGGAGGAGGAGGUGGGGUUCAGGGGAGGACGGACUCUGUCACCCCGACACCCGCCCGCUACAUCCAGGGGCCCCUCCCGCCGGGACGAGGCAGGGUCUUGGGGGCCCCUCUCCCCUCCGAGGGGGAACCUGACCCCGGGCGACCCCCAACCCCCCCUCCCCUCCGGUCC